AAUCAACGCUGGCGGCGUGCCUAACACAUGCAAGUCGAACGCGACUGGGGCUUCGGCCUCAGUUGAGUGGCGAACGGGUGAGUAACACGUGGGUGACCUACCUUCGAAUGGGGGAUAACGUCCCGAAAGGGACGCUAAUACCGCAUAACAUCCUGCCUUUGAACAGGCGGAGAUCAAAGCCGGGGAUCGCAAGACCUGGCGUUGAGAGGGCC
rnacentral:rRNA from 1 species